rnacentral:rRNA from 1 species
AGUCGAGCGGACAGAUGGGAGCUUGCUCCCUGAUGUCAGCGGCGGACGGGUGAGUAACACGUGGGUAACCUGCCUGUAAGACUGGGAUAACUCCGGGAAACCGGGGCUAAUACCGGAUGCUUGAUUGAACCGCAUGGUUCAAUUAUAAAAGGUGGCUUUUAGCUACCACUUACAGAUGGACCCGCGGCGCAUUAGCUAGUUGGUGAGGUAACGGCUCACCAAGGCAACGAUGCGUAGCCGACCUGAGAGGGUGAUCGGCCACACUGGGACUGAAACACGGCCCAAACUCCUACGGGAGGCAGCAGUAGGGAAUCUUCCGCAAUGGACGAAAGUCUGACGGAGCAACGCCGCGUGAGUGAUGAAGGUUUUCGGAUCGUAAAACUCUGUUGUUAGGGAAAAACAAGUACCGUUCGAAUAGGGCGGUACCUUGACGGUACCUAACCAAAAAGCCACGGCUAACUACGUGCCAGCAGCCGCGGUAAUACGUAGGUGGCAAGCGUUGUCCGGAAUUAUUGGGCGUAAAGCGCGCGCAGGCGGUUUCUUAAGUCUGAUGUGAAAGCCCCCGGCUCAACCGGGGAGGGUCAUUGGAAACUGGGGAACUUGAGUGCAGAAGAGGAGAGUGGAAUUCCACGUGUAGCGGUGAAAUGCGUAGAGAUGUGGAGGAACACCAGUGGCGAAGGCGACUCUCUGGUCUGUAACUGACGCUGAGGCGCGAAAGCGUGGGGAGCGAACAGGAUUAGAUACCCUGGUAGUCCACGCCGUAAACGAUGAGUGCUAAGUGUUAGAGGGUUUCCGCCCUUUAGUGCUGCAGCAAACGCAUUAAGCACUCCGCCUGGGGGAGUACGGUCGCAAGACUGAAACUCAAAG